UNCACAAACCUAAAUUGGCCUGGUCCUAGCC
rnacentral:piRNA from 1 species